AGUGAACGCUGGCGGCGUGCUUAAUACAUGCAAGUCGAACGGCAGCACAGGAGAGCUUGCUCUCUGGGUGGCGAGUGGCGGACGGGUGAGGAAUACAUCGGAAUCUACUCUGUCGUGGGGGAUAACGUAGGGAAACUUACGCUAAUACCGCAUACGACCUACGGGUGAAAGCAGGGGACCUUCGGGCCUUGCGCGAUUGAAUGAGCCGAUGUCGGAUUAGCUAGUUGGCGGGGUAAAGGCCCACCAAGGCGACGAUCCGUAGCUGGUCUGAGAGGAUGAUCAGCCACACUGGAACUGAGACACGGUCCAGACUCCUACGGGAGGCAGCAGUGGGGAAUAUUGGACAAUGGGCGCAAGCCUGAUCCAGCCAUACCGCGUGGGUGAAGAAGGCCUUCGGGUUGUAAAGCCCUUUUGUUGGGAAAGAAAUCCAGCUGGCUAAUACCCGGUUGGGAUGACGGUACCCAAAGAAUAAGCACCGGCUAACUUCGUGCCAGCCGCCGCCGUAAGAC
rnacentral:rRNA from 1 species